CUCAAUGAAAAUUAAAUAGCCGCAAAUUAUAUUGUGCUAAGGUAGCAUAAUCAUUAGUUUUUUAAUUAAAAACUAGAAUGAAAGAUUUAACAUUUUUAUUUCUCUCUCACUUAUAAAAAUUGAAAUUAUUCUAAAAAUAAAAAAAUUUUUAUAAAAUAAAAAGACGACAAGACCCUAUUGAACUUAACUUAAGUUUAACUGGGGCAGUUAAUCAAAUACAAUUUUAAUUCAAAUUUAGAAAAAAUCUAAUAUAAUUAAAUAAUCAAGUUACCAUAGGGAUAACAGCGUAAUAAUUUUUCAUAGAUCUUAUUCAAAAAUUUGUUUGCGACCUCGAUGUUGAAUUAAUAAUCAAUUAAAUGCAACGAUUUAAAAUAGAAAGUCUGUUCGACUU
rnacentral:rRNA from 1 species